CGCCAUAGAAUAGAAGCCCGGGAACGGGUUUAAUUUGGUAUUCCUCGGAGGAAAACUUUUUGCUUAGGGACCGUUAAAAUGGUUCCAUUUGUGGGGAGUAAAGCUUCCCCAGAAAAUGCCCCCUAGUUGUUUGGAGAGAUAUCAGCCCACCGGGAAAUGAACAGGGUUCAGAUUCUUAGGGGAGCACCAGGGGGAAUUUGCCCAAUGGGGAAACCCUGAUGCAACAACCCCGCGUGGAGGAUGACGCAUUUCGGGGGGUAACUCCUUUUAUAUGGAAGAUAAUGACGGUACCAUAUGAAUAAGCACCGGCUAACUCCGUGCCAGCAGCCGCGGUAAUACGGAGGGUGCAAGCGUUACUCGGAAUCACUGGGCGUAAAGCGCGCGCAGGCGGUUUGAUAAGUUGGAAGUGAAAUCCACUGGCUUAACCAGUGAACUGCUUCCAAAACUGUCAAACUAGAGUGUGGGAGGGGAAGAUGGAAUUAGUUGUGUAGGGGUAAAAUCCGUAGAGAUAACUAGGAAUACCAAAAGCGAAGGCGAUCUUCUGGAACACUACUGACGCUGAGGCGCGAAAGCAUGGGGAGCAAACAGGAUUAGAUACCCUGGUAGUCCAUGCCCUAAACGAUGAAUGUUAGUCGUCGGUAUGCUCGUCAUAUCGGUGAUGCACUUAACAGAUUAAACAUUCCGCCUGGGGAGUACGGUCGCAAGAUUAAAACUCAAAGGAAUAGACGGGGACCCGCACAAGUGGUGGAGCAUGUGGUUUAAUUCGAAGAUACGCGAAGAACCUUACCUAGCCUUGACAUUGAUUGAACAUUUUAGAGAUAAGAUGGUGCCCUUUUGGGAACAUGAAAACAGGUGCUGCACGGCUGUCGUCAGCUCGUGUCGUGAGAUGUUGGGUUAAGUCCCGCAACGAGCGCAACCCUCGUCACUAGUUACUAACGGUUUGGCCGAGGACUCUAGUGAGACUGCCUUCGCAAGGAGGAGGAAGGUGAGGACGACGUCAAGUCAUCAUGGCCCUUACGGCUAGGGCUACACACGUGCUACAAUGGUUAGGACAAUGAGAGGCAAUACCGCGAGGUGGAGCAAAUCUAUAAACCUAAUCUCAGUUCGGAUAGCAGUCUGCAACUCGACUGCUUGAAGCUGGAAUCACUAGUAAUCGUAGAUCAGCAAUGCUACGGUGAAUACGUUCCCGGGUCUUGUACUCACCGCCCGUCACACCAUGGGAGUUGAUUUCACCCGAAGCGGGGAAGCUAAACUGGCUACCCUCCACGGUGGAAUUAGCGACUGGGGUGAAGUCGUAACAAGGUACC
rnacentral:rRNA from 1 species